rnacentral:rRNA from 1 species
GGUUAAGCGACUAAGCGUACACGGUGGAUGCCCUGGCAGUCAGAGGCGAUGAAGGACGUGCUAAUCUGCGAAAAGCGCCGGCGAGGUGAUAUGAACCUUUGACCCGGCGAUGUCCGAAUGGGGAAACCCAGUGUGAUUCGUCACACUAUCGUUAACUGAAUACAUAGGUUAACGAGGCGAACCGGGGGAACUGAAACAUCUAAGUACCCCGAGGAAAAGAAAUCAACCGAGAUUCCCCCAGUAGCGGCGAGCGAACGGGGAGCAGCCCAGAGUCUGAAUCAGCUUGUGUGUUAGUGGAAGCGUCUGGAAAGUCGCACGGUACAGGGUGACAGUCCCGUACACGAAAAUGCACAGGUUGUGAACUCGAAGAGUAGGGCGGGACACGUGGUAUCCUGUCUGAAUAUGGGGGGACCAUCCUCCAAGGCUAAAUACUCCUGACUGACCGAUAGUGAACCAGUACCGUGAGGGAAAGGCGAAAAGAACCCCGGCGAGGGGAGUGAAAAAGAACCUGAAACCGUGUACGUACAAGCAGUGGGAGCACCUUCGUGGUGUGACUGCGUACCUUUUGUAUAAUGGGUCAGCGACUUAUAUUCUGUAGCAAGGUUAACCGUAUAGGGGAGCCGAAGGGAAACCGAGUCUUAACUGGGCGUUAAGUUGCAGGGUAUAGACCCGAAACCCGGUGAUCUAGCCAUGGGCAGGUUGAAGGUUGGGUAACACUAACUGGAGGACCGAACCGACUAAUGUUGAAAAAUUAGCGGAUGACUUGUGGCUGGGGGUGAAAGGCCAAUCAAACCGGGAGAUAGCUGGUUCUCCCCGAAAGCUAUUUAGGUAGCGCCUCGUGAACUCAUCUUCGGGGGUAGAGCACUGUUUCGGCUAGGGGGCCAUCCCGGCUUACCAACCCGAUGCAAACUACGAAUACCGAAGAAUGUUAUCACGGGAGACACACGGCGGGUGCUAACGUCCGUCGUGAAGAGGGAAACAACCCAGACCGCCAGCUAAGGUCCCAAAGUCAUGGUUAAGUGGGAAACGAUGUGGGAAGGCACAGACAGCCAGGAUGUUGGCUUAGAAGCAGCCAUCAUUUAAAGAAAGCGUAAUAGCUCACUGGUCGAGUCGGCCUGCGCGGAAGAUGUAACGGGGCUAAACCAUGCACCGAAGCUGCGGCAGCGACGCUUAUGCGUUGUUGGGUAGGGGAGCGUUCUGUAAGCCGUUGAAGGUGUGCUGUGAGGCAUGCUGGAGGUAUCAGAAGUGCGAAUGCUGACAUAAGUAACGAUAAAGCGGGUGAAAAGCCCGCUCGCCGGAAGACCAAGGGUUCCUGUCCAACGUUAAUCGGGGCAGGGUGAGUCGACCCCUAAGGCGAGGCCGAAAGGCGUAGUCGAUGGGAAACAGGUUAAUAUUCCUGUACUUGGUGUUACUGCGAAGGGGGGACGGAGAAGGCUAUGUUAGCCGGGCGACGGUUGUCCCGGUUUAAGCAUGUAGGCGGAACGAUUAGGUAAAUCCGGUCGUUUUUUAACGCUGAGGUGUGAUGACGAGGCACUACGGUGCUGAAGUAACAAAUGCCCUGCUUCCAGGAAAAGCCUCUAAGCAUCAGGUAACAUCAAAUCGUACCCCAAACCGACACAGGUGGUCAGGUAGAGAAUACCAAGGCGCUUGAGAGAACUCGGGUGAAGGAACUAGGCAAAAUGGUGCCGUAACUUCGGGAGAAGGCACGCUGAUAUGUAGGUGAAGCCCCUGCGGGUGGAGCUGAAAUCAGUCGAAGAUACCAGCUGGCUGCAACUGUUUAUUAAAAACACAGCACUGUGCAAACACGAAAGUGGACGUAUACGGUGUGACGCCUGCCCGGUGCCGGAAGGUUAAUUGAUGGGGUUAGCGGCAACGCGAAGCUCUUGAUCGAAGCCCCGGUAAACGGCGGCCGUAACUAUAACGGUCCUAAGGUAGCGAAAUUCCUUGUCGGGUAAGUUCCGACCUGCACGAAUGGCGUAAUGAUGGCCAGGCUGUCUCCACCCGAGACUCAGUGAAAUUGAACUCGCUGUGAAGAUGCAGUGUACCCGCGGCAAGACGGAAAGACCCCGUGAACCUUUACUAUAGCUUGACACUGAACACUGGUCCUUGAUGUGUAGGAUAGGUGGGAGGCUUUGAAGUGUGGACGCCAGUCUGCAUGGAGCCGUCCUUGAAAUACCACCCUUUAAUGGCUGGUGUUCUAACGUAGACCCGUGAUCCGGGUUGCGGACAGUGUCUGGUGGGUAGUUUGACUGGGGCGGUCUCCUCCCAAAGAGUAACGGAGGAGCACGAAGGUUAGCUAAUCCUGGUCGGACAUCAGGAGGUUAGUGCAAUGGCAUAAGCUAGCUUGACUGCGAGAGUGACGGCUCGAGCAGGUGCGAAAGCAGGUCAUAGUGAUCCGGUGGUUCUGAAUGGAAGGGCCAUCGCUCAACGGAUAAAAGGUACUCCGGGGAUAACAGGCUGAUACCGCCCAAGAGUUCAUAUCGACGGCGGUGUUUGGCACCUCGAUGUCGGCUCAUCACAUCCUGGGGCUGAAGUAGGUCCCAAGGGUAUGGCUGUUCGCCAUUUAAAGUGGUACGCGAGCUGGGUUUAGAACGUCGUGAGACAGUUCGGUCCCUAUCUGCCGUGGGCGCUGGAGAAUUGAGGGGGGCUGCUCCUAGUACGAGAGGACCGGAGUGGACGCAUCACUGGUGUUCGGGUUGUCAUGCCAAUGGCACUGCCCGGUAGCUAAAUGCGGAAAAGAUAAGUGCUGAAAGCAUCUAAGCACGAAACUUGCCCCGAGAUGAGUUCUCCCUGAGACUUUAAGUCUCCUGAAGGAACGUUGAAGACGACGACGUUGAUAGGUCGGGUGUGUAAGCGCAGCGAUGCGUUGAGCUAACCGAUACUAAUGAACCGUGAGGCUUAACCUU